rnacentral:tRNA from 1 species
GCCGGGGUGGCGGAAUUGGCAGACGCACGGGACUUAAAAUCCCGGGGGCCAAAAGCCCGUGGGGGUUCGAUUCCCCCCUCCGGCA